UGCUCCUGCCUCCUCCUCGUCAUGCUCUACUGGCGCGGCAAGAAGAUCCAGAAGAAGCGGGCGAUGCGGCGCUACCUGGAGCGGGGCGAGAGCCUGGAGCCGCUGGACCCCAGCGAGAAGGCCAACAAGGUGCUCGCCCGCAUCUUCAAGGAGACGGAGCU